AAAAGUGAGAAGCAACUGUGGAUCCUGGCUAUUGUGAGGGCCCCCAGCCCACCGUAAGUGGGGCUACCUUCCGGAAGAUGGUUCUCAGGUGCGUGAGGAACCCGACUGAAGAAGCCUGAGGAGCAAGCCAGCAAUCAGCAAUUCUCCAUGGCCUCUGCUUCAGCUCCUGCCUCCAGGCUGCAGUCUUUAGUUCCUAUCCUGACUUGCUGGUGAACAGCAAGUACUGGUGAAGGUGUCACAAGAUAACUCACUGGGAAAAGGCAUCAUACGUAUGUGCACACUUACAUGCAAAUAAAUAAGUGUAAAAUAAAAUGGCUGGUGACCUCA